CCUGUUAGAAGUCAGGAAGCAGGGAAGAAGGUUCACAGGGAUGGCAGUGCAAACAAAGGCUUUAGGAUGGGGGGAUAAAAUAAAGUCCUCCACCAAUGACAGCAGUGGGAUGUCUCCACCCAAAGCAGCCCUGCCUUACAGAAGGCAUUUGGUUCUCACCCUAGAGCUGCGUGAAAUUUGUCAUCUGCCAAGUGCUCUCAGACACAUCCGCUGGCAGAACCCUUAUCUCAUAGGAACAGUGCAGGCUGCACUCCCAAAGAGCGUUAAACUGAAGUGAACAGGAAGAGGUGUUCCCUGCCAGGAUGACGCUGGGGCAGCAGAUCAUCCCAUACAACCUGCAAACACUCAAGACCCACGGAACCUUUGCCUUGUUGCUGAGCCCCAUGGCACCCCACUGGAAAUGUAAACCUGGGGAAGAAGGGCUGGCACAGCUUCCACCCAAAGGCUCCAUUCCUUUUAAACUCACUUUGACAUCAGUGCUGCCACAGCCCGUGUUGAACCUUUCCCCUUUAUCUUUCCUCCCGUGAGAAGCACCACAGAAAGACAGAGAGCAACAGAACUGCAUGGCACAACAAACAUCUACCCUGCAUCGGCACCAGGAACACAGACAGGAGGAGGUGUGCAGCAGUGAAGGCAGCAGCUCUCUAAUACUGGGCAAGGGCAGCCUGCACAGCGUGCUGGUUCUGCUGUGCACAAGAGGAGCUGGCUGAGGACCAAGUCCAGCGAGUACUAAGUCAUCUAUUAACAAAGCCAAACAAAAGAGGUGGGGAAAAUCUUGCAUCUUGCUGUUAGACUUCUUGCCCGAGGCCAGCAUCACAGAUUCUAGAUCACAUGGGGAAUCAGGUUCUUAUUUCCAAAACCCUAUUGCACUUCCACAGUCAUGCCAGAGCUAGGACUUGCUCAAGGCUUUUAUCAAAGCCUCCAGGGCAUGGGGUUGUUUGGACACGUGGGACAACACUCAGCUUUUACAGCUUAUGUCCUUCAAGAACCAACUCUGUGCUGCACAUUGACUGCAGCAGAAUUGCUGGGUCGCAGCCUGAACCCAUGGCUGAGCACCAGGUGAGGAGGGGUGGCAAACCGAGGGAGCUCAGCUGCAAGCCAUGCAACUGAGUGAUCAAAAGGGGAUCUGCCCCUCCUCACUCUCAUUUAAAGGUCAGCAGCCAAGGGAAUAACACUUCCCUGCAUGGAUACUGCAUUCCUCUUGAGCUGUUACUGGGCAUUGGAAGAGGCUUCAGUGCUGUCAGUGAGGGUAACCUCAUUUCAUGAUCAAAGGAUGCCAGCAUCAACCCCAAACAGCAGCUUGGAGCUCUGGUUAGGAGCACCAGCUCCCUCUCCAGCAAUGGGAGGAGGCAGACACUCCAGAGAGGGUCUCCCAGGCAGAACACUGAGAAGGCAUCCCAAAAUAGCCAGGCAGGAAGCAUUGGGGCUGUGGGUCAGAAGCACCCAUGUCAGACAGGGAUUCACAGCCUGACUCCGUCCUCUAUAUCUGGGAAAUGGUUAUUUCUCUCAAAAGCGCACUGAGAGCUCAACCUUUUUUUAAGGUAUUUCCCAGCAGAGCCUUUAAAGGAAGCAAUGCCUUCUUGUGAAUCUAUCCUAGUGAUGAUAGAAGCACUUGUUAGAUGCCCUCUCCAUUUAAAGGUUCCUAAAGCUAUACACUGGGUGGGCUGUAUGCUGUUGAUGUAGUGUACAGUGUGAAGUCACAACAUACUACCUGAUGAUUUUGAUUAGCUCGCUCAUGUUGACGUGAUCUGGCACCAGGAACUUGGUCUUAUCCAAAACUGGGAGCUGCUUCUCCCCCUUGUACCUUUCGAUGAUCACCUAAAGAGAAAGAAAAGAAAGAAGCAAAGGAUGUGAAAGGCAGAAACAGUGCUUAGAGCCCUCAUCCCCCUCCAUUUGAAACACAGCAAAGUAGGAGGGUUCACCCUACACUCCAUUUCACUUCAUUUGUAAAUGGAGGUCUGGUUUGUAAGUGUCACAUCUGCGUUAUAAUCAGUCACCUGCUUCUUCUGUUUGCAAGAGCUGCUGUAAGAUGGGGGAAUGAACAGGUUUAACAGCACGCACUGCAACUUGAGUGCAGUUUUAGAAUGGCUUACUCGCUGGGAUCCUUUAAUCUAGCUCUGAUCUACCCAGCAACAAGGAAACCAGGAAGAGGUACAGCAGGCUCUCUAACACAUUGCAUUGGCUGCUGUGGAAGUCUGCAGGCUCAUAUAGCUCUCACCACAAUUCCUCCAGCUUCUCCUGACUAACGGGCUGUCUCUUUCUAAGAACUGCAGCUCUGGAUUAGCAUGUCAGUCAGUUCUCCUGUGUGGAUUCUCUCAUGCAUGAGGAAAAAGUGUCUUUUGAAGGAUCUAAAGCCUCGAAGCAGAGAAUUCCCUCCUCCUUAAUCUCAAGGCAGCGUGCUUAGGAAGCAGUCAUUCCUUCAAGGUUGUUGUGGAGUAACUACUUAACUCACGAGGAAACUGUAGGUUUGCCAAUUUAAGCAGCACCCUGCCCAGCAACUGCAUGGAGUUCCUGCUUUUAAGGAAUGAUCUCAGAACUCGUGUACCCGUUUCCACAAGCAGGCAGGCUUUGUUGUUUUGAACCAUCGACGGUAGCUAUGUGACACCAUUCACUUGGAAGGGACUUGGAUCGUGUCCAUGCUCACAGGGCCUGGCUGUGUUGAUAUUCAGAAGCUGUACAGGUGAAGGGGUACGAAGCCAACUUAAUUACAUCAGAGAGAAACUUCCUUACAUCAGUUAAAAUACAUGCUGGGUAAUUCUGGAGGGGGGAGAAUACACUGUUUUUAAUGAGGUGGACUGUAAGCAUUGGAUAAUAUUGCCGACAGCAAAAUGGAGGAUGAUAACUGUACAGGAGCGAUGCACCAUCAGCAUGACAUCGCCAUCUCAACUCAUCCAGAGCUGCUAAUGAUGAUAAUGAGGCAAUGACUCAAGCUAGAACGUGGUCUGGCAAGCAGAGCAAGCCCCCAGGGAUCCCAUGCACGCCUGUGCUGUCAUUGCCAGUCUGUAUCACUGCAUCUUUAGCCAGUUGCUCAGGUACCUCUGAAUCUUCCCCAGUAAUAUCUCCACGGCUGAAUUGAAAUGAGAGCUUUGCUGUAAAUCAGUGGUUUUCAAUCUGUGGUCACAGAGCUUGGGGACUACUGCUAAGUGAUCUGUGAAAGGUGGAUGAAAAAGCAAUCUUCUGUGAGGGAAAAGAUUUGUGAUGAAAGGGCCUUCUGGGAAAAGUGCAGAUUCCAGAUAAGUCCAAAAAUUGCAGCUAUAAAGUCUGACUUGUUCCCACGCCAAGCAGCACGUUAAAACAGCAGCAGUGGCUUCAAGAAGUAGCUGAAUGCUAAAGUGAAGCUGGCAGCUUUUCAGUUCAUUUUGCAUGGAGGCAGUGCAUGUUCCUGCUACAAAGCUUGCACCACAACUGCUGCUUGCAGGCAGUUUGUUCCCUCUGAGAGCAAAGUCUUCUGUAGCCAUCAGCACUCGUUGCUGAGAACCAAAGUUAUGGCACCUGAUUAACUUCUCACCUCUGUGAAACCUCCCAGUUCCACUCAUCCAUGUCAUAAAUGCCUGAUGGGAGGAGGCAGAGGAUAGAGCCAGCUCUUUAGAGUGGUUUCCAGUGCCAGGACAAGAAGCAGUGGGCACAAACCAGAACGUAGGAGGUUCCUUCUGGCCACUAGGAAGCAGUGUGCUGUGCAGGUGACUGGGCAAUGUGUGCCAGUGGCUCAGAGAGGCAACAUUCCCUAUGGAGACCAUCUAAGGCUACCUGGAUGUGCUGGGCACGCUGCUCUGCAUGUCCCUGCUAUAGCAGAGCUUGGCCUUGGUGGCCUCCAAAGGUCCCAUCCAACCUCAACCAUUCUGGGAUACUAAAUUCCUUUUGUUUCCUAGAAUGCUUUAUUUGCAUUGAGGAUUCCAUUAAAAAAAAAAAACAGAAAGCUUAAGCAAUGUUUGGAGCUGAUUAGAUAAAGGCAAGUGAAAAAAAAGGAGGGCUGAUCUCCUGUGUGAAGUGACCCAAUGCAAGACGGAGGGAUUUGACAAGUAACACUCCUGGAGAUUUCAGAGCCACAACCCAUUUCUCUGCAUACAAGGGUGUUCUGUGUUUCUCAGCACAGAUCUGUGAUGAAAGCCACAUCUGUCUCUGAAUUACUGCGCUUCCUUCU